rnacentral:misc_RNA from 1 species
AUGUGCUGGUCAAAUGUCAAAUGCAUCUCUAUCGUUUUAACGUGAUAUAUAAAAUAAUUGUUAUUUACUCGUUGCUACCCUUGAAAUUGUACGAAAAAAAAUAAUUAUUUUUAUAAAUUAAUAUAAAAAAUUUACUGUGUCAUCAUCAAUGAAAAUACGAAUAUUUUCAUAAUAAUAUUUAACGUAUUCCAUUGUCUCUGGUGAUCACUGGAAUAAUAAAUUAAAAAUAAAUAAGAGUUAAUUUUUUCAACGCAAAAAAUUAUAAAUAACAAGUUAUCAAUCAUCGAGUGUAAGUUACAAAAAGAAAAUUAACAUCAAGUUGAAAUUAUUGAACAACAGUGUCAACUGAUCUGAUAGAAGUAGAUGAAAUAAUUUUGACAAGGUGCAAGAUUGUCAAUCUUAGUGAACUGAGACAAUUAAAAAUAAUUAAAUUGUUCCUAUGCGGCAGGAAGCCCAAGGAGUUUUAAAGCUUCGGCAAUCUGGUGAUAUUCAACCACAAACUGGAAUGAUGAUUGAACAAGAUAUGGCUGGUGCACAAGACACAAUUUAUUUGUGUAAUUUUCGUGUGUCUGUUGAUGGAGAAUGGCUAUGUUUAAAAGAACUUCAAGAUGUUGAAUAUUCAAUGCAAGAUUCAAUGCAAUCACCAACAUCACCACCUUUGGCCAUAAGUGGUAUAAAAAAUAAUCAACAUGAUUAUCAACAACAAACUGAAUUAUCAGAGUUUUGUGAUGUUAUUUCACAAAACUCAACAACAAUUCAUCACUUCUCCAGCUUGUCCCGUGAUCCAGUGAUAAUUGAAAGAAGCAAUCUUGUCAACAUCUCAAAACUUAUCGUAAAAGAGCUGAUUGAAACAUCUUUAAAGUAUGGGCGUAUGCUUGAUUCAGAUCAUAUGCCACUUCAACAUUUUUUUAUCGUUCUCGAGCACGUAUUAAGACAUGGUUUACGUCCCAAAAAGGGUCUUCUUGGUCCAAAAAAAGAACUUUGGGAUAUUCUUCAACUUGUAGAAAAACAUUGUGCUGAAGCACAAGAUAUAACAUCAAGUAUUCGUGAUCUUCCAACAGUGAGAACAGCACUUGGAAGAGGCAGAGCCUGGUUACGUAUGGCUUUGAUGCAAAAAAAAUUGGCUGAUUAUUUAAAAGUACUUAUUGAUCAUCGUGAUGAUCUACUAGCUGAAUAUUUUGAGCCAGAUGCAUUGAUGAUGAGUGAAGAAGCUAUUGUUAUUAUGGGACUACUGGUUGGCCUAAAUGUUAUAGAUUGCAAUUUUUGUGUCAAGGAAGAAGAUUUGGAUUGUCAACAAGGGGUUAUUGAUUUUUCAUUAUAUUUACGAAAUAGUAAUCAUAUACCUGGUGAUUCACCUGAUGAAGAAUUAGAAAAUGACAAUAUGACAACGGUGCUUGAUCAAAAAAAUUAUAUUGAAGAAUUAAAUCGACACUUGAAUGCAACAGUUGCAAAUCUUCAAGCUAAAGUAGAAUCAUUAACAACGACAAAUGCACUUAUGAAAGAAGAUUUAUCAAUAGCAAAAAAUAAUAAUUUAUUAUUACAAGAUGAAAAUGUACAACUUAAAAGAGAACUUGGAAUUGAUGUUAAAGAUACACUUGAGAGUGGUAAAGCACCACUUAAAAUAACCGAAACAACGACUGAAAUUGAAGAGCUCAGAUGUAGAGUAGAAUCAGAAAAAAAAUUACGACAUGAAGCAGAAAAAGAAUUGGCAUUACAGGUCAGCAUGAAAUCAGAGAUGGAAGUAGCUAUGAAACUUCUCGAAAAAGAUAUUCAUGAAAAACAAGAUACCAUUAUAUCACUGAGAAGACAAUUGGAGGAUAUUAAACUUAUCAACUUGGAAAUGUAUAAAAAAUUACAGGAAUGUGAGAUCGAGUUGACUCAAAAAGGUGAAAUGGUUAGUCGUCUUCAUGCUAAAACAAAUCAAAUUGGAAAACUUUUAAAUAAUCUUGAAAAGUAUAAUCAUUUGAUGAAAGACGGUGAUGGAAAAAGUCCAACAACACCAAGUAGCACUAAAAGUUUUAUAAGAAUGAGUCCAACAUCACCAAAAGGACCACCAUUAUUUGAAAAAUUUCCACCAUUACCAGAUAAAAUAUUAACAAAAGACGAACGAUUAAUGCGUAAUCAAAAUCUUGAACUAUCACAUGCAAAAUCAAAAGAUAAAAUUGCUGAUGAUUCACAAAAAUCAAUUGGCAAAUAAUUCAAAAAAUUAAUAAUAACAAAAGUCAAUUUAAUUUUUUGUAUAACAUGAUAGUCAUUUAUAAAAAAAAAAAAACCAAACAAACAAACAAAAAUUGUAACUUAAGUGUUAGAAUUUAUGCAAAUUAUCGUGAAUCAUUUUUUUCAAAAGUCAUUAAUUUCAGGAGUGUGAGAGUUCACUCAAGCACAAGACCGAACUGAUUGCCAAGCUGGAAGCUAAGACAUCAUCCAUGUCAGAGAGCAUCCAAAAAAUGGAUGAAAAGUGUAAAGAUAUCGACGGUGUGAG